AAAAACUAAAAAUUAUCUCCGUUAUUAAAAAAAUGUUUUAAGAUGAUUUAGACUAAAUAAAACUCCUAAGAAUAAUGCAUAGUAUCUCGUGUUAAAAGGAACAGCCUGUAUUCAUAUGUUGCUUAUCAUAACUAUAAAAUAUCCAUAAUGGUAAAAGGGGAAUUCCCUUUCCCUCUCUUGUAAAAUCUAGAAGUAAAUCCCCCUUAUUUAAUUUAUAAUGAUUUGAAGCAUAUAAAUACCCCAGUUCAGUGUUUUAUUAAAUCGAGAUCAAGUAAAAAUGAAGUUGUUACUGAUCGUCUUAUUUGCAAUUUUUUGUGGUAGUUCACUUCAACUGGAAGAGAAAGAAAAUUUUAGAGAUUCUCAUAUCAGUUUCAAAAGAUCGUCUACAACUAAUGGGUGUUCAGAAUUACAAAUAAUGCAGUGUAAGUUUAGAAAAUGUAUUCUGGGCGCUUAUUGUGUUAAUGGAGUUUGUAAAUGUAAUAUACCCAUAAAAUAAAAGUGCUUUCGUAACUCUA